AACGAACGCUGGCGGCAGGCUUAACACAUGCAAGUCGAACGCCCCGCAAGGGGAGUGGCAGACGGGUGAGUAACGCGUGGGAAUGUGCCCAAAGGUUCGGAACAACUCCGGGAAACUGGAGCUAAUACCGAAUGUGACCGAGAGGUGAAAGAUUUAUCGCCUUUGGAUCAGCCCGCGUCAGAUUAGCUAGUUGGUGGGGUAAUGGCCUACCAAGGCGACGAUCUGUAGCUGGUCUGAGAGGACGACCAGCCACACUGGGACUGAGACACGGCCCAGACUCCUACGGGAGGCAGCAGUGGGGAAUCUUGGACAAUGGGCGAAAGCCUGAUCCAGCCAUGCCGCGUGGAUGAUGAAGGCCUUAGGGUUGUAAAAUCCUUUCGUCGGGACGAUAGUGACGGUACCCGAAGAAGAAG
rnacentral:rRNA from 1 species